UACUUUCCAGUCACAUCUUGGGAUGUUUUAUUUGGAAGAGAACUUAUUUUAAUUCUAAUUCUAACUAUUCUAAUUACCUAUCUGUUAAGCUCUUUGUAACCUGGGUCACAAAGAGCUAACAACACAGAAGUGCCUCAGCCAAUCAGAGCGCAGGUCAGCAGCACUGUAGGCAAGCUACACAGCGUACGCUAGUCAGAUGCUGGGUGACACUGUUGAGAGAGGAUCCACUGCUGAACGGUUAAAAUAUAACUCAGAUAAGACAGUAAAAACGCCAUAUAAUGUUGUCAAAACAGAACAGUAACAGCCUGUACGUUGUUGUAAGCUCGUAGAUGUGUGUGUGUGAGAGGCUGCUCACUGAAACCUGCUGAGUGACACAGAGGAACUCCUGAAUUGGUCAGGUUUUUUGAGUCGAUUUGAAGUUGAUGGCGAGCCAAACCAGACAAGACCAUUAGAUCCCUGGAUUGAAGAUCCCUGAACCGAGAACCGUCAACCUUACCUCUCUCCUGCCACGGCGGUGGGACAUUAGGCUGACAUCAGCCUGCCCUUCCUCUCUACCAGCAGCAGUGAGAGUCUAACCAGCAGCAGCAGGGGGAGGAGGACAGAAGAGAGGAUGAAUGAUGCCACAGAGUUGUUGACCAGUUUAUUGUGAGUGUGAGGACUUUAGGUAAUUCAACAGUAUGAAAAGUUAUUGUAAGGCUUGUCAAUAAGGAGGUUUAAUGUUAAUUAGUUUAUAUAUUAAAAAGAUAAACUAAGGUUUUUACAAAAAAUGAAUAAAUUGAUUCUUCUUUAUUCUUUAUUUUAGGGAUGGUGAAUGCUGUAAACAUGGUGUAUCAUAAAAAUAAACAUGUCAAUCAAAAAAAUAAAUAUUUACUUAUAUCUG